rnacentral:rRNA from 1 species
CCUACGGGGAGCAGCAGUGGGGGAUAUUGCACAAUGGGGGGAACCCUGAUGCAGCGAAGCCGCGUGGGUGAAGGAGUGCUUCGGCAUGUAAAGCCCUAUCGGCAGGGAAGAAGCAAGACGGUACAUGACUAAGAAGCCCCGGCUAACCACGUGCCAGCAGCCGCGGUCAUACGUAGGGGGCGAGCGUUAUCCGGGUUCCCUGGGGGUAAAGGGAGCGUAGAAGGCCAAGCAAGCCGGGGGGUAAAGCCCGGGGCCCAACCCCGGGACUGCCCUUGGAACUGCAUGGCUUGAGGGCGGGAGGGGCAGGCGGAAUUCCUGGUGUAGCGGUGAAAUGCGUAGAUAUCAGGAGGAACACCGGCGGCGAAGGCGGCCUGCUGGACCGCGACUGACGUUGAGGCUCGAAAGCGUGGGGAGCGAACAGGAUUAGAUACCCCAGUAGUC